CUGCUCAGGACGAACGCUGGCGGCGUGCUUAACACAUGCAAGUCGAACGAUGAACCGGUUUCGGCCGGGGAUUAGUGGCGAACGGGUGAGUAACACGUGGGCAAUCUGCCCUGCACUCUGGGAUAAGCCCGGGAAACUGGGUCUAAUACCGGAUACGACACUCCGAGGCAUCUUGGGGUGUGGAAAGUUCCGGCGGUGCAGGAUGAGCCCGCGGCCUAUCAGCUUGUUGGUGGGGUAAUGGCCUACCAAGGCGACGACGGGUAGCCGGCCUGAGAGGGUGACCGGCCACACUGGGACUGAGACACGGCCCAGACUCCUACGGGAGGCAGCAGUGGGGAAUAUUGCACAAUGGGCGAAAGCCUGAUGCAGCGACGCCGCGUGAGGGAUGACGGCCUUCGGGUUGUAAACCUCUUUCAGCAGGGAAGAAGCGAAAGUGACGGUACCUGCAGAAGAAGCACCGGCUAACUACGUGCCAGCAGCCGCGGUAAUACGUAGGGUGCGAGCGUUGUCCGGAAUUAUUGGGCGUAAAGAGCUCGUAGGCGGUUUGUCGCGUCGAUUGUGAAAGCCCGGGGCUUAACCCUGGGUCUGCAGUCGAUACGGGCAGGCUAGAGUUCGGCAGGGGAGACUGGAAUUCCUGGUGUAGCGGUGAAAUGCGCAGAUAUCAGGAGGAACACCGGUGGCGAAGGCGGGUCUCUGGGCCGAUACUGACGCUGAGGAGCGAAAGCGUGGGGAGCGAACAGGAUUAGAUACCCUGG
rnacentral:rRNA from 1 species